rnacentral:rRNA from 1 species
AGUGAACGCUGGCGGCGUGCCUAAUACAUGCAAGUCGAACGGAGUGGCGCACGGGUGAGUAAUGUAUAGCUAAUCUGCCCUACACUAGAGGACAACAGUUGGAAACGACUGCUAAUACUCUAUAGUGUAGGUUGGGGCUAUAUUGUAUCAGCUAGUUGGUGAGGUAAUGGCUCACACAGGCUAUGACGCAUAACUGGUCUGAGAGGAUGAUCAGUAAAACCCUAACUGAGGCACCGUCCAGGAUCCUACGGGAGGCGGCAGUAGGGAGUAGCGCUCAUUCGGGGAAACCCAGAAGCAGCAACGCCGCGUGGAGGAUGACACUUUUCGGAGAGUAAACUCCUUUUGUUAGCGAAGCGGUACCUAACGAAUAAGCACCGGCUAACUCCGUGCCAGCAGCCGCGGUAAUAC